rnacentral:pre_miRNA from 1 species
UGGGGGGUGGUGUAGUCCUCAGCCAGGAUUGCAAGAGGGUGCAGGCCAGGCUGAGGGACCCCACUGGUGCACG